rnacentral:rRNA from 1 species
CGGGACGGGGUCGGAGGUAAUGUCUGGGAAACUAGCCUGAUGAGGGGGAGUAACUACUGGAAACGGUAGCUAAUACCGCAUAACGUCGCAAGACCAAAGAGGGGGACCUUCGGGCCUCUUGCCAUCGGAUGUGCCCAGAUGGGAUUAGCUAGUAGGUGGGGUAACGGCUCACCUAGGCGACGAUCCCUAGCUGGUCUGAGAGGAUGACCAGCCACACUGGAACUGAGACACGGUCCAG